UAGCCCUGCGGAGUGCCUAGGUCCGCCGCAUCUCCUGGGUCCGUGGGGUUCGGCCGGCGGGUGGACGAUCACGGGUGGCCUCCCCGUCCGUCCACCGCCGGCCACCUC
rnacentral:sRNA from 1 species